rnacentral:lncRNA from 1 species
UGGUUCUUACCUUUGAAUAGCAUUCUGAUUUGAUAUUGUUAGUCUUAGUCGACAUAUUCUGACUUUGGAACUGCCACUACACAACAUUACCUUAACUGACGUAAGGCGAUAUCGGUCUUUCCGGUAGUUGUUUGUAUUCUAUACUUUGGAGGUUGGUUCCUAUUAGUACUACUAGUUCGAGAGAUCCCUAGCAGUGAAUUUGAUUCUUGUUUCUAAGUUGUCAUUCCUUAAGUACACAUCUCGUCCGGUGGGAACCUUUGCAGUAGGGAAGAUUCAAUGAACGCCCCUUAAUCGUUGGCAUUCUUCUGAGCAUACUCAAUUCCUUAUGAACUAUCAGAUGCAUCCUGACUUUCAUGCUUGUACUGGACCACAACUCGUUUAAGGCUUGAACUGAAUCUUUCUCUUUAACCUAUAUGAACCAGAGCUUAUAGCUGCUAAUCACUUAUUGAAACUCAUAAAUUGUCCUCUCGCAAUGCAUUUGGAUUAAUAACAUAGACAGAACCGUGGUAGUUCCUAAUAAGGCUUAGGCGCAGUGCUCAAAAUUCCAUAAAGUAUUAGUUGACUCAACUGUCUUGACUGCUCGUUUAAAAGGACCCGUUUCAAGUUGAUUCAACCCCGCCCGGUUUAAGUAGCUCGCCUUUGCUUGUUCCCCGCUCUGUCAGUUCUUAUUCUUAUUCUAAACAAACGAGCUCACAAAGGACAGAGAGCCUACAGAGACCACAGCAAAAACAGAAUUCAAAACAAACGAGCUCACAAAGGACAGAGAGCCUACAGAGACCACAGCCCAAAAGCAAAGCCGAAAGCCAAGAAAAGAAGAAAGUUGGCUAUCUCGCAUCAAUCUUCUUCCUCUUCCCAAGUUUCGCUCAAACGGAGGAUACGACGACCCUCUUCUAUUUCAUCUACGUGAGCUCUAACAGUACCCCCGUUGAUUUUCAGAGUCACCUCCCCCAAUGCUUCCAAUGUGAAAGGAUAGAAAUAAUGCACAUUACCCGGAGAUUCACACUUUUGGAAUGUCCAUUCCUUAUUAUGCGUGAAGCUUAGUGCAAGCGAACUGGAAAUGGAGAACCCUUUGAUGUAAGCUUGAAUAGGCCAUGAAGCAUAAGAAGCCGACUCCUUCUUAGUAAAUUCUUUAUCUAGACAGGACCACUACAGCUUGCUUGAUACUCGAGUAAACCGUACAAUACUUUCCGCUCAUCAUUUCAUUUUCUCUUUUCUUUCUAUAAUAUUACCUUUUGAGUAAACAAAGAAUUGAUUGAAUCUCACUCGCUAAUAUAGGAGUAAGUGAAGCGACUGCUUUCCAAGGCCUUAAUCAUAUCCAUCCCUCUCCUCUCCCCCAUGCACAAGGUUAUCCUCAAGACUAGUUGAUUAUGAGGAUCUAGUCUUAAGUUAAGUUCUGGCUACUUUUUGCAUAGAUCUAAUAUUCUUUCCUUUCUUGUUUAAGUAAGGCAUAGUGUAGUGGCCAUCAUACAUUAAAGCAAAUGGAAUCACUCCUUUACCUUGAUCGAUAGACUUACGGCCGACCCGACCCCUUUUUUUGAAUUGAAAGAAAUCUGUUGUCAUAGUUACCGUCCCAUGGCCCACGACUUGGGAAUCCGACUCUUUUAUUGCUGCAGUUAGCUCCUAAUUCCUCUUCGGCGGAAGAGAUGGGCGCUUAGUUUUCACUUAAUCCCUUUCCUUUAUUCCUUCUUAACCUGCGUACACACCUGUAACUCAUCUUUUUCCAGGUUAUGCUAUGCCAUUCCAUUUAUCCUAUUUUACGGGUUAUGCUAUGCCAUUCUAUUAAUCCGACAAUCUUAGUGCUGUACCUAGGCAUUCUCUCUAUUUUAUUACUCAUUGAAAGAAGCCUGCUUGACUAUUGCUAUCUUUCCCAUGUCGCAUAUCGGCGGUCUCUUCCUUUUACAAGACUUGGUAAAGUGGCUCGAAGCAUUAAGAUGACGGAGAAAGAUUAGGUGCUGAAAGCCUGUAUAAAAGAAAUAAGGCGGAUUUCGGGAAGCCCUUGAGUCAGAAGGAGAGUAGUUUGACCAACAUAUCAGACAGAGCUGCUUUCGAAUGAAAAGAAAAUAUCCUAGAGCUCCUGCUUUUUGAAUUCCGUAUUGGACUUGAAAGCAGAGACGGGAGAGCUAGCCUUCCUUCGUUGGAUUGGAUAAUACUACGGCAGGAAAAGCUGGAAAGAGCAGAACACUUGAUUGACAGCAGCGACUUCUGCUUUUUUCAGACGAAGGCCGCUCCUCUUAUGAAAUACUCCAUCUUGUAUGAUACUUUAUAUAUGUCUAGAAGGUUAACUAUCCAGAAUGAAGGGAAAAACUGCUGUUAAGCUAUUACGGGAAAACGGAGCUGUUAAGCAAUUAAGGGAAAACAUACUGCUGUUAAAGUGAAGCACAUUAAAAUAGGAAUGGAAAAGAAAGAGUUAAGUGAUUGCACAGAUAUGAGUCUUUGUUGACCGACUGUGUACCCUUUGACUGCUAUUGAUAUGGCACUUUCAUUACUAUUGGAAUCAAAGCAUUGGUCUUGGUACCGUACUGGCUUGAAAUGAGCGUCUGACUUCGCUUGUUCCUGGGUUACCUAAAAGAACUAGAGCGCUUCCUUCGCACCUUGAUUGAUAGACGGAUCAUACCAGUUUUUGACUUGCUUUGACUUAAUAGACUUCAACAGUUGGGAGGGACUUGGGACAAAUAUGGGAUUCUCAAAUAAUACAGGAGCUUAGCGCACUAGGAAUUGGAGUCAAAUCAUUCCCCGGAACAGCUGAGUGAACGUCCCGAGCUCACACUACUAGAAUUAUGCCCCGUUACGCUCUUAAUACAGGAUCGUGUGAAAGUAAGGUUUCUUUGUAAUUGGGAUAGGUGUUAAUUCUUAUGUAUCUAUCCUCUGAAGGAAGCGGACAUGAGAAUCAUCAUUAGGCUCGAGCAAGAAUGAAAGGAAUGGCUGAAAUGGAUCCCUAUUCCAUAGAAGAAAUACAUCCAUAUUACAUAGAUUUAGCAUACUAUAAUUGACUUCUUCCCUAAAUAACUUAUAGAAUGACUCCAUGUAAGACAAGAUGAACCAGAUUCCAUUUUCAGGAGUUUCAACUCAUUCCGUUAUUACACCAGGUAAAUGCUCAAUAUCCAAGUAGACUUAGCAUUUGGAUUAAGUGCUUUUUGGAUUGUCUCAUUUCUGUGGAUUGGUGUUUAUACCCUAGAUUUUCUUACAUACUUUUAUGACAUACCUCCUCUAUUUUGUUACAUACUAAGUCUUCACUUGUUACUCCAGAAGUCUAGCUUGCUCUGUCUGUGUUCUUCCUGAUUCCUUAGAUUUAUUAUAUAACUCCGAUCCGAUAGUAUGUAUUAUAGAUUGGGAUCGAUGCAUAGGAAAUGAAUGCAUUUCUACACUAUAAGAAAGUAAGUGAAUGCAUUUCUACACUAUAAGAAAGUAAGUGGACUAUACAGAACAUUGAAUCAUGCCACAUCACAUAUUGGAUUCUAAGGGUAAGGGAUCUUACGGAGCCUGUUCAUGCAUAACAUGAUUCAGGUAUGAUCAUAGAAUCGGUUCUCUUCAAACGAACCGGCCUAUCCUGAGCUCAAUAGGGGACUGUAGUGAUGGUUGGAUGUGGAGACACAUUUGGUUGUGAAUUCCAACGUAGGAGGAGAGAUCGGAAUCUAUAUCCAUUUGCGCAGAGCAGAUCAAAUUGCUAUUUGCGCAGAGAAAAUGGAAUCUAUAUCUAUACUUUAUUAGUGUGUAAACUAUAAAAACGAGUCAAAGUGGAUUGGCCCACACUAGCACUUCCGCGUAAUAACUCUACCAAAGGCGAUCCUAUGUACAGGAAUUGCUUUCAGGUAAGCCUGUGACAAUGAAUGACUGCCCAAUAACCAAUUUGGUCCCGAGGUAAGGAAUAACCAGUUACACCAAAAGAUGCCUACAGCCGACACCUGUAACACAAGUAGAUUAGCGGGGUUUUUGAAUCACUUGUAAGGUACACACGAAAUACGUGCAAGAUCAUCAUUAGAACCAUCAUACUUGCUGACCAUCGAGAAACAGAUCGGAUUCACCAACCAAAGUGGGCCUCAGUCAUGUAGUAUUGAAAAGAGUCAAAAGCCUCUGUAAUGGUUAGACGGUAGUAACAAAGUAAUAGCUGUAGCUACUUGUACUCGAAGUCAGUGUUCCACCCCUUUACACAAUCCAAUAUGUUGACAUGAGGAGGAAGAUAUUGACUUGUUAGUUAUAUAUAGAUAAUAUGUAAUCGCCUAGAUAAUAUGUAAUCGCCUGAAUGGAAUCUCAAGACGUUGCUCAAACCAAUCAUAUACUACUUCUUUAAGACAGCAAGGCCAAGGCUCUGAAAAACCAUAUAUGCAAAUGGUUUCUUGUAUCGGCUCAAGCAGAAACACACAAAUCAGGAUUUCAACGGAUAUGUAAUAGAAAGGUCAACACUUCUUAGCUUAGCCGCUGAAAGGUCAACACUUCUUAGCUUAGCCGCUGGGAUUUGCCCCGGAGAGUGAAAAGAAGUAAAGACAGAAUAAAAGAUAGUAAGUAAAGGCGGAUAAUGCCCUCCAGGAGUAUAGGCUCAGGAAACAGUAAAGCGAGGGUCAAUCAUUGUUAUUGGUAGUUCGAGUCUAAAGAUGCAGUGGUUUAUUCCCUUUAUCGGUAAUGUUAGUUCCAAAGCAAGUAGAUAAAUACUUUCUAUAAGGUUUGGUAGGCGCUGAGGGCAGUAGGGGCAGGCCGAUAGAAGGGAGAGUGAGCUUUGAAGUAAGUAGUGAGAGCCUAAGUUAUGUAGCUAAGUACAAGAAUAAGUCGUUUAGUUCCGGGGUUUGGAUCCAGCUUUUAGUAAUCCAGUAGCGGGAAAGCAAGCAGCAGUCUAAACUAGAGCAAUUAGAACUCUUUGCCAAAGCAAGCUGGAGUCUUCAAAGCUAGAGCAGAGGCUCUUAGCACCUUUUCUUUUGAUUGAGAGCUUUAUUUAGUGUUCUUAAAAGGCUAAUUCCCUUAAGCUUAUUUUGUUAGAGUACCUCCCCUCUUAGGUAAAGGGCAUCCGGUGCUGGUGUAAUUUCAUUCCUUCUGUCCCAGUUCCAGUUGCUAGCCAAAUCUCAUUAAGUGAAGCUCAGCCCUUUCAUCAUGGGAUGGGCGAACUUCCCAAACGGCUGAAAACCGCUUUCCAUUUAUUCAACUAAACCCUUAUUGAUAUGGAUAUGGAAACCGGACUUCCCUUUGCCCUUCUAUGCCUGUAUGGAAAGAAGUAAGCAUGAAGCCUCUGAAUCAGACUAGCUCAAAGCCAGCCCCCUUGUAUUAACACAAUGCUCCUACUUUACUUACUCUCAAUUCAAGGUUGAUUCCCCAUACAUAUACGACAAUUAGGCUCACAUCAGACCUAUACUGUCCUGUCUGUCUACUCGAAAAUAGUUGUUAGUGAAGAAGGGAGUCCCUUACUUAUCAUUCAGAAAUCAAGAAAAUACCAGGGUAGAAGAGAACCAGAUAAGCUCGUACCAACGAAGAAGACACGCAGAAGUUGAUAGAUUCGGAGCACGAACUAGUUGAGAUGUAGUGUCCAUUCAUUCCAUUCACAUCGGUACGGGGCACGCCGAGGAACUAUCCUGCGCUGUGCAUACCUGGCUCAGCCAUUAGAGUCAUUUUCCAUUCAAGGCAAACUGACCACCACCAACAAAUCCAUCGAAGAAUUCCUUAUCCGAAGGAAAGUGUUGAAAACGCAAUGCUAUGCUGCUUUAGGAAGGGUGUAAACAGGACUUGGUAAUGCGAAGAAAGGAACGAAAACUGGUGGACGAACAAAGGAAUAAUUCCCGAGUGCCCGGACCUUCCACGAGCGAUGCCGACCGAACAAAGACAGAAUGAAUGGUAGCUCUAAGACUUGGUUGGGUGGAUGGUUACUUGAAGGUACUGCUCGAUGAAUAGGUGAUGUCCCUUUAAGAAUGCGCUUAGAUACUUGAUGAAGGAAUGAAUGGUUCUACCUCUUCUCCUUUUUGCUAUGCUUUUCCUCUUUUUGAUACGCUGAUGUUUCUCUAUUACAAUAUAUGUAUGGUAUAUGUACAAUAUAUGGUAUAUGUUAGCGACAAUGGCGUAUCUUUAACAAGGCGAGAAGCAGAGAUAGUAUACCUUACCUCCGUGGGGAAGAAUAGAUCGAACCUCCGUGGGGAAGAAUAUGUUAUGAACCCCCGUGGGGAAGGGAGUUUGCAGAUAUAGGAUCUCUCUCGUUAUUGUUAUUAUAGUAUAGUGGUAUUUUGAUAGAUGGUAUAGAACCUCUUCUAGUGUAGAUGGUGCCUUACUUACUUAUAUCGAUAAUAGGAUAUUCCCCGAAAAGAGAGAAUCAACCUAGUGCUGAUGGGAACCCAAUUACGGAUAAACCCUAUACUGGCCAACAAGUCUAACCUUAACGCUAUUGGACUGACUUUGCUGAUCUCAGAUCUUCACUCCCCUUCCAUCAUUCUGACUAUACUUAUUUGAAUUGUGUGACUACUUAGAACAACACCGCCUAACAGGCUCUCUUUACUGACUGUGAUUCUAGGACCGCAGCAUCGGAUCCUCACCUUACUUAACCAUGCUUUCCAGGCAAUGAAACAAGGGAUGCUAGGAUGAAAGUCAGAAGAAAACUCCGGAUACGUGGAAUGAACAUGCGGGGGGCCAUUGGGUGCUAAUAAUUAUAGUAGGUGUAUGAGUUCGGUGCUAUUAGCUUCUUGUUGGAUUCCUCUGAUAUUCCUUUCAAUCUAAUACAUCUAGCGAUGGUUCUUACUUUCGAGUUUCAGUCCUGUGCAUUGAUUAAAGUAUCCGAAUCGGGAGUUACAGAAUGGUAGUGAACCUGUUAGUUUGGGGUUAUUCUUAGUAAUAUUCUAUUGAUUAGUAGCGGUGUUUGUUUGAAACAGUAUAGCGGUCAGUAGCUCUAUAGCAUGAAAGUUAGGUGCUGAAAGCGAGUUGGAAUCGAGGCUAAUAGAGAAAUAAGUUCUAAAGUCUGUUAGGCGCUAGUUCAUUCGUCGACUUAUGAGUGCUAUUCUAUUAAUGUAUAACAUACGCUAUAUUUCUCGUAUCCCUUAGAAGCUAAAGAAAGAAAGUCAGCAAACAGUGUUAGGUUGAAUCAAUAGAAAGGGCAUUGAUAUCGGGAAUGGCAUACCUAAACUUUCAAUAAGGAAUGGAAGGGAGAAAACUGUACUAGCUCAUAGCUCAUUAAUAUAUAUGGAAUUAGUUACUUACUCUCUAUGCCUUCGGGUGCUGAAAUAAGGCAUGGAGGUUGAAAACAAUGGAAUGGGAAUCUAGCUUGGCAGUAGAAGGAUCAAAGGUGAAAUACGGAGUGAGAUGAAGUAGCGGUAGGCCAACAACCGAACAUAUGAAUUGAAAGCCCGGAAUGACGUAGUGAGAUAAGGUAGAGACGUACUUGGAGUUAGGAGCGGUGGACUCAAGUUUAUAAGGACUACUAGAUAGAGUUCUUUAGCUGUGUUUUCAUUGUGAUCGGUACUAGGUGCAUUGUUAGGGGAUUGAUUCUAUUCUCUUAUAAUAUAUCAUAAUAUAGUUUGUUCAGUGCUCUUAUAAGAUAGUUUACUCAAGGAUAGUUUGAUCAGUGCCAAUUGCCAAUGUUAUUCUUUCUUUCCACGUUUCAUUCUCUGGGGACACUGACACCACACUUCUGACUUUAGAGUGGAAUUAUGUAGUUCUGCUCGCAUUCUUCCUUUCGAGUUCAAUCCGUUAGGGUACAGUAGAAUUCCAAGUUUCCAGUUCUAUCCUUUGCAUUAGUAAUAGCAUUCUCGGUUCCAUUCUUGUAUGCCCUUCCAUGUUUUCUCGUACUAGCCCCUUUCUUGUUAGCAGAGGAAUCAGAUUUGGAUGUGAGUAAGCUGUGGGAGACCCCAGUUCGAACUACAGAAUGGAAAUAGGGUUUUCGAGCUAGUAUAGUAAGA